AGGACAAACGCUGGCGGCGUGCAUAAAACAUGCAAGUCGAACGGACUUCAGUCCGCAAGGACUGAAGUGAGUGGCGAACGGCUGAGUAACACGUAGGUGACCUGCCCCGAAGUUUGGGAUAACACCUCGAAAGAGGUGCUAAUACCGGAUGUGACCACCGAUUCAUUUCGGUGCUUAAAGUCGCAAGACGCUUUGGGAGGGGCCUGCGGCGGAUUAGCUAGUUGGUGUGGUAACGGCACACCAAGGCUUCGAUCCGU
rnacentral:rRNA from 1 species